CUGUAAGGGCACGAGCCAAGAAUCUCUGAAAAAGGGUUAGUUUAUUAAAUGAAUAUUUAUUGAGAACCUACAAAAUGCCCUGGAGAUACACCAGCGGGAGAGCUUAAAUCCAGGAAGGGGAGAUAAUUUAAUAGCCCUUUCUCCCUGACACAUGACUCCACCAGAGACCACUUCCUGGAGGUGAGUUCCUUGAGAUGACAAACCAUGUCUGAUUCUUCUCUGCAUCCCUGCUGCUUUCGUUACAGAGUUGGGCAGGCACACAUAACAGAUAACUGGAUUCUUCUAUGGGCUUAAUCAUCUUGCUGCUCUUGCCUGGAGUUCCUCUCAUUGCUCUUCAUUUGUUCUGAAAAGAGAUGCCUCAAACUGAACCCUGCACUCUGCCUCGUGGUUGGUCUGAAGAGGACUGCAGGACUGUUGGUGCUGAGGAUGCCCAGGCAAAGGCAGGACAUGCCAGCCUCCUGUUCUCCAUCCUGACCAUGAUUCCAUUUCCUAGCACGAGUUGCCUUCUUACUGAAAUUUGAUGCUCACGCUUACUCAGUAAUUUGGACUUGCUCCUUGGGAAGAUUAGAAGGAUCCCUAGCUACAGGAAUAUUCUCAAUCUGGUUGAGGACUGAUGGUUUUUGGAUACUUGAAAACAAUUCAUACUGACAUAUUUUGGUCAGACAGUCAGCAGCAUUACUUGUCUUAGACCUGCCACCAUACGAAUGCUCUCAUACCCUAUCAUGCUUCUAGUAGAUUGAAUUCAGCUCAGAUCCUGCUUUUAUCUGAGCUUAACUUCCUAGUUAUUUUAUUUAUUCAUACUUUUAAGGAAAUAGGUUUGUCAACUGCUGGAUAGUACAUAAAUUACUAUAUGUGGAAUACAGGGCAGUGUAAGAUAAUACAGGAUAGUUCUGGAGGAUGUCCAACAAAUCAAUGUCUUAGACUCCGAAACUUCCUCCCUGGGUGCAAAAGCCCUCCUAUACAAUUUCCUUGCUUUGUGGUAUAUUCAUGUAGAUUAAAAGAGAUGGCCUCACCUGUUACAGGGGCAAUUUGGCAAUUUCCAAUGCAAUUGUUUAUAAAUGCUUCUAGAGUGAUUUUUCCAAUCUUGACAAACACUCUCUCAAGCCAGAGGAAACUUCAUAAUUUCUAGUGAAGAGGUUAUGAAUUAUUAAAUCUCACUAAUUCUUCACUUAACUGCCACCUUUAUAUAGAAAACAUGAUCUGGGUUAAAUCCUACAGAUAGAGGGAACAUGCACCUGGGGUUAAUCUAACCAGCAAGUGGAUGCUCCACUGCCUCAAUCAAAUUUAGAUCAAUAUUAUUUAUCCAUCAGCCCUUGAAAUAGAACAUGGGCUCU